rnacentral:sRNA from 1 species
GGUUCUGACACCCGCCUGCCACCUCUUGCUUGGGAGGCCCCUGAGGUUGGCUCUGUCACAGUCUCGGUGCAUUCUAGACAGCCUGUGCUCUGCCCAAGUCCCCAUCAGGAUGCCUAGCCCAGGAAGACUAAAGUCAGCUCGGCCCCUCCACCAUGCAGGGCAAAGUCGACAGAGGCGUGCCUUCUACUAGAGAACUUUGGCCACAGCUAGUAGACAGCUCAGACAUGACUACGACCAGGGACAGUGAGCAGGUAAGGGAACACUCCUGGCUUGGGGGAGGGGGGUUUUGGGGGGGAAGACCUAAUGAGAGUUAGAAAAGAAUAGGUCAUUUUUAUCCCAGAAUUCAGCAGCCCAGACCUCAGACCUCCUCCCCCAGACCCCAGUUCCUUUACCUCCUCCCUCGAACCCGGGGAAUCCAGUUCCUUGACCUCCUCCCUCAGACCCUGGAAACCCAGUCCCUUGACCUCCUCCCUCAGACCCAGGAACCUGGUUCCUUGACCUCCUCCCUCAGACCCAGGAGUAAUGGCCCAUGUAUUUCUCUAUCAAACCAGAGCUCCAGAUUCCAGCCCUCCUCCUUCCUACCCAGUGAUCCUCCUUAACCUUCCUCCCUUAAACCCACAACUACAAGACUCCAACCCUCUUCCCUCAGACAGAGGAGUCCUAAUGCUUACUCUUUAGGAAUACCAGUUAGCUGGCUGUCCCUGCUACAGCCACCCCAGCCACACAGCUGGAAUACUUUCACACUCGGGAGUUUUCACUGUCAGCGGCUGAAGGACAGCCACGUGCUAGCUCACUGCACAUACUGUACACAUCCGUGCUGACCUUCCCCGGGGUUAGCAUGGAAUUCAGGACUGGUUGUGUACAGGAUGGUGGCCCCUUCCUGAUAUUUGGGCAUCAUGCUUUUCUCUGCAGACCAAGGAGAGGCAGGCAGCUGAGUCCCAAGUUUGAGGAAGACAGGAUAACAGUAUUUUCCUGCUGGGAGAGCUGAAAAGUGGCCAGUGAGGGGAGAGUCUUGCAGAAGUCAUUGAUCAAUGGAUCACAGACUCUCAAGCAAGGCGGUGGUGGCCCAGGAGUUUAAUUCCAGGACUCAGAAGGCUGAAGCUGCAGAGCUGUGAGUUCGAGGCCAACCUGGUCUACAGAGCAACAGCUCUCCUCCAUGGCUCCCCACUUCUGACCUCGCUCGCGGUUCAGAUACCUCUCGCACCCGACUCGUGUCUACCCAUUUUGCCGCUCGUUA